AUACCUUUCUCGGCCUUUUGGCUAAGAUCAAGUGUAGUAUCUGUUCUUAUCAGUUUAAUAUCUGAUAUGUGGACUACAUUGUCCAUAACGAUAUUAAAUUUAUUUUUUAUGGGAGAGGAUCCAUCAUAGUGGCUUGCCACUAGGGUCCUUGUGUGUUCCUCAGGCGUUGCACUACAAUCCGGGUGUGGCGCACCCUAG
rnacentral:snRNA from 2 species